rnacentral:rRNA from 1 species
AGGAUGAACGCUGGCGGUCUGCUUAACACAUGCAAGUCGAACGGAGUACCUCGGUACUUAGUGGCGGACGGGUGAGUAACGCGUGAGAAUCUGCCCUUAGGUCGGGGACAACCAUUGGAAACGAUGGCUAAUACCGGAUAAGCCGAGAGGUAAAAGAUUAAUUGCCUAGGGAAGAGCUCGCGUCUGAUUAGCUAGUUGGUGAGGUAAAGGCUCACCAAGGCAUCGAUCAGUAGCUGGUCUGAGAGGAUGAUCAGCCACACUGGGACUGAGACACGGCCCAAACUCCUACGGGAGGCAGCAGUGGGGAAUAUUGGACAAUGGGCGCAAGCCUGAUCCAGCCAUGCCGCGUGAGUGAUGAAGGCCCUAGGGUUGUAAAGCUCUUUGUGCGGGAAGAUAAUGACGGUACCGCAAGAAUAAGCACCGGCUAACUACGUGCCAGCAGCCGC